UUUCUACAUCCGUGGAUCGUUCUUCAGCGGUGGUGUCCAAAACUCUGCAGAACAUGAUCAUCAGGAACAGAAGACGGGUUGGAUUCCAUCAGUCAGACCUUGCACAAAUCUACAAAUUCUAGGCCCUCAUAUUACCCAUAAGUCUGAGCAAACACACCUUUGCUGCCGUUCUGAUGAUGACCAUGCUCGGCCACACAGGGAUCCGAGAAGCAUGCAGAAGCACGGGCCUUCGAGAGACAGAUCGUCCGGCAACGCGGAGGAUCCGUGGACCCUCGGUACCGGGCCCGUUCUCUCAUGCACUUCUACUUACCAUGGACCCUCUCUUGUAGCGACUAUACCAUGUGCCUGGAUUGUCUUUGGGCCAGCGAGCCAUUUUGCUCUGUAAAAUAGGAGACUAUUUCAGGAGGACAAGAAAGAGGAGUCACUCUUACCAGUUUACCACGUUUGAAUUCACUGAACCACGACCCUGGAUUCUCCUUCACCCAAGAGGUGAGUCUCGCCUGAGAGAGAGAGAGUCAGCUAGAGUCAAUACUGUAGACAGACAGACAGACAGACAGGAAGAAACAGGUAGCCUGUGGGAAUUAUUUUGAUCUGUUUUGCCGUGUAGUUGUCGAUCUGUCCGAG